UGACGCAUAUGACGCGUCCAAUGUGUUCUAAAGUUGAACACAUGAGCCAAAAUGUGUUCUAAAAUGGCAUUUUCAAAAUGUGUUACUGAUCGCCUAAAUGCCACAUCUGACUACAACGUACACUGGAUUUACAAACUAAAAAGUAGUUUAGAACACCGAUGUGCUAUCAGAGGCGACACAUAGGGGUCGCUGCGCAGAGUGACUUUGCAGUCUAGCGAGUGGUACUGAGCAUGCGCAGUGAUCAGCCUUUCCUGGAUCCCGUUUUUUUAAGUGGAAGCGCGAAACAUUUAUAGCUAAUAAAAAGAAAUUAUAAACUUCGAAAUUUGUUUAAAUUUGCGGUCUGUUAAAGUUACAAAGUACCCGUGGCAAUUGUGUCCCAUACAGAGAACAAUUGUGUGUGAUGUUACAGGGUGAGCACUGAGAUUCCUUACAAAUUCACUUAUGUUUCAACUAAACAUGAAGGGAUCACGAGGGGAUAAAACAUCAUUUGACAGCGCUGUGCAAAUUAAUAACUGACAGUGUAGUAAAGGCGCAUGAUGUUACAGAAGCCUUUGCCCUCAGCACCAUUGCCAAUCGGUUACGAAAUGCACCUAAGAGGAAAGAAAGGCUGGAUGCAGUGUCAUUUAUUA